AGGAAAUCCACUUUUCUUUAGCAUAAGCCCGGGAGUGUCAAAGAAACAAAUUUGUGUUUUCCCUUUAGUCAUCACACCUAAGACUUCAUGAGUAGUGGUAUUUGUCUUCCGUGAUACAGCAGAAACUUUGGUCCCAACCAUGUAAUUAGUCAAUGAAGAUUUCCCAGCAUUAGGAGCUCCAAUAAUUCCCACACUCAAUGACAUUUGAUCUUCUUCCUUCACCAACUCAUCCUCUUUAUCUUCGUCCCCUUCCUCAUCAGGCCGGUCCAGUGCAGCUUCUAGAAGAGUCCUAGCCAAUAAAGCAG
rnacentral:misc_RNA from 1 species